rnacentral:rRNA from 1 species
CAGCCAAGUAGCGUGAAGGAUGACUGCCCUAUGGGUUGUAAACUUCUUUUAUAUGGGAAUAAAACGUUCCACGUGUGGAAUUUUGUAUGUACCAUAUGAAUAAGGAUCGGCUAACUCCGUGCCAGCAGCCGCGGUAAUACGGAGGAUCCGAGCGUUAUCCGGAUUUAUUGGGUUUAAAGGGAGCGUAGGUGGAUUGUUAAGUCAGUUGUGAAAGUUUGCGGCUCAACCGUAAAAUUGCAGUUGAAACUGGCAGUCUUGAGUACAGUAGAGGUGGGCGGAAUUCGUGGUGUAGCGGUGAAAUGCUUAGAUAUCACGAAGAACUCCGAUUGCGAAGGCAGCUCACUGGACUGCAACUGACACUGAGGCUCGAAAGUGUGGGUAUCAAACAGGAUUAGAUACCCUGGUAGUCCACACAGUAAACGAUGAAUACUCGCUGUUUGCGAUAUACAGCAAGCGGC